rnacentral:lncRNA from 1 species
CCCCCCCCCCCCCCCCCCCCCCCCCCCCCCCCCCCCCCCCCCCCCCCAGGAGGUCACAGGGGUGUGGCGUUCCUGAGGCAUGGGGGUGUGGGGUCCCGGGGGUGUAGGGAUCGGGGUUCCCCGGGGAAUGAGGUCCCAGGGGUAUGGGGUCCCGGCAGCGUGGGGCUCUGGGGUCCCAAAGGUGUGGAGUCCAGGCACCUGUCAGCUUUGGGCUACAGAAGAGUGAGGAGAUGGUCAUGGCUUGGAGUGGGCCCAGCACCAGCGCUCCCCUUAGGUACCUGCAGUCCCUUGGCCCUAAAAUGCAUAUACAUAGGUAAGAGUCACACACUGGGAAAGCAUUACUGGGAUCUGCUCCCUCAUAAGGCCUCCUUACUGAUAGCAAAUACUGGGAUCUGCUCCAUCCUUGAUCCCCUGAGACCAUUUCCUUCUUCCUUUGUGUUUGGCCCCAGUGUCUCCCUCUCUCAAUCAGGAGGAUCAGACCCUCUGGCAUCUGCAGGUGGGCAAUGCCAGUUGCUGGUGGGUUUACAGGCCACAGCUCUGAUUUCUCUGUCUUUAUUGUCCUGCUGCUACUGUUUGCUGCUGGAACGGGAGGCACUCGUGCACACUGAGGGGGAUCCCCAGACAGGGGCUGAAAUGCUCUGCUUCCCUGCAGCCCUCUGUGUGAAGCUGCUCAGGGAGGCAGGAAGCCACAUUAUGCUACCAACUGUCCUGAUGACCCCGAUGAAUACAGAGCUGUGAGGAACAGCCAUCCCCUUUGUCGUGCCUCUUCUGAACCACCAUUCAGUCAGGGAAACAAUGCCUAAACUGUGCUUGGUUUGCUUUGUAGCUUCUUCCCUGCCACGUGAUGCUCACAGCAAACCCUAGGGAUCCAUGUGAGGGAGUGCAGGCAGGUGAGGAAACUGGGCAGGAUAGUGCAUGCCACUGUCACACUUAAAAACUCUUGCUGACCACAUCUGAGGGAAGAGAAUAAAAGAAGGAUGACAUCCACUGAUCUGCUUUUCCGGAGAGAAUUACGUCCAGCGUUUGUCAGCACAAUUCGUCAUCUGAGGAUCCCCGCGGAUCCAGCACAGCUCCUGGCGUCGUGCAUGUCAGCCACGGCACAGAAAAUCCUCUUUCACUGCUGGUUUCCGUUCCAGGUGAAAACCCAUUAAAGGCAGCCGCUUCACCACUCCCUGCUACCACUAGGGCACUGACCUGUAAGUCGUGUCCUAUCACUGCAGCCGUGGGAUAAUUCAUACCAAAGUGCAGGACCAAAAGAAAUUUUGCUGCUUCUACAGCCCUUCCUUUGUGUCUGCCCAUGCCUUGCUGCCCACUGCUGGUAGCAGUGGUACCCACUGCACCUCUGUGUUCUGCCUGCUCUGGGGGAUGCCCUGAUGAGAAUCCCAAAUCCUAUUCUAGCUGUUGCUAGGACAUUGCCGUGGAUUUGGAUAUCCACUGUGGUGAUGUCAGGUUGCCCUUUCUACUCAUCCCGCACACAUGCCUGGGCAAGCCAAGUGGUGUCAGAGCCCAAAGGCAAGGCAUUAGCACAGUUGCAAAGCCAAACUGGGUUUUUUUGUAGGAAAUUAAUGUCUUUGGUGUAGAAGUGGGAUUGUUAUUCACGGGCCAAGCUCUCCUGUGGAGGUGGUGGGAAUAGUUACAACCAUAGUGUGCUUUGGGCUCCAGCACUGGCUUAAAAAUAGGCCAGAGCGUGCCAAGUCCUUUCGGCUUCGCAGCUGGUGGGCAACCCUUUGCAAAUUGUAUUUGUCACAUACAUUUGAAGUCGGAGCCUGCCUGUAGUAAAGGCAGCCUGUCUGUGGGCUGCACUGGAUUACAUUUGGCCCCAAAAUUGUUUGUGGGGUGCAGUGCUCAGCACUAGUGAUGUAACAGGACAGCCCAGAAAAGUUUUACUUUUCUGAUACAUAUAUUUUUUUGCACAGACCCAUGAACAUGAUGUGUUUGUUUGCAGUCCAGCCUGGUUUUAAUCACUCUGAAUUAAGUAACUGAUCUUAUUACCAAUCCGACUAUGAGAGGGCUUAUCACAGGUUCCUUGGCACAUGACAGAGAUUACUCUGUCGGUGCAGCCAUAUCCAAGUGACGUGACGUAUUUUCUCAGAGCUAUUUUCAUCUUCACCCUCCUCUGAGACCUUGAUCCUUCGUUUUCUCCAGCCAGUGACCAACUAAAACCUUCUUAAUACUACGGAAACCCCAACUACGUAAUCAGACGAAGGGAAAAUCUCUGCCAUUUCUUGUGGCAGACGUCAUUUGCUUCCUAAGGCUUUCAUUAAAUUGAGGGCAGGAUAGUUUUGCCCUAAUGGAUGUGACUCUGUGUGUAAUUAAAAGCAAAAUAGAAAUAGGCACUAUCAGGGAGUACACUGAACAUGGUUUAGUGCUGGGUUUGAGUAUGUGAUUGAAGACAGGCAAAUCCCUCAUUCAGGCGUAGAGCUGAAGGAUACAGGGUUUACUGCAGUCCUUGCAAAGAAUUUGUGCAUGGGUUUGACUCUGAACACUUACUAGUCUCCUCUGGAAAAAGGCAGGCUCAGGACCAAAGGUCAGCAGAGUCUGGACAACAGCUUCAGAUUCCUGGUGGGCUGGAGCAGCACAGCUGCCUCUUCACUUUCAGCCUCUGGAAUCUUCAUCAAGUCAGAGAGAAAUGCCUAGUGUCCUGUUUAGCUGAAGCUGCACAUCUUCAGAAUGAAGGAAGGAAUGAGGAGAGUCAGGGGUUUUGGGGUAGGGGUGCUGGGCUGGAAUAUACACACUGUAUGUCCCCCUCUCACCACAGGAACAUCACUGACCUUCAGUUUAAUCUCUGUGCCACCAGCAUCCCACCUGCACAUGGGAUACAGUAAAGCUGCUUCAACCAUCCUGUUUCAGCUGGUGAGUUCUUUAGGUCAGGGAUAAUAUACAAGAAUAUUGUUCUGGUACUUGGGGUCUGGGAUCUGCGUGGGGAACCUCUGCUCUGCUGUAUUAGACAGGGGUCAGGACCUGGUCAUCCUGUGCAAAGACAUGUUGGCAGAGCUGCUGGCAGUCACUAGACAGGAUUUGUUCUCCCUUGGUGAGGACAUGCCAUGUGAGGAGGUGAAUGGCAGCCCCAGGCACUCUGUUCAGCUCUGGUGAAUAAUAGCUGUUGCUGACACCUCGUGGAAGCCUCACACAAACAUUUUCUCAGAAACCUUUUGGUUUCAUUUCUGCUGCUGCUGGUUCCUCUUAUGAGCUCGUCCUUUGUUUCAUCUCAGGACCCUUGGCUGCCUGCAGAACCAGGGAUGGGAAGGCAGUAAGGGAAGCUGCCUGGGGCUGCCUGAUAAGG